UUUCCUACGGGGCGCAGCAGUGGGGAAUAUUGCACAAUGGGGGAAACCCUGAUGCAGCGACGCCGCGUGAGUGAAGAAGUAUUUCGGUAUGUAAAGCUCUAUCAGCAGGGAAGAAAAUGACGGUACCUGACUAAGAAGCCCCGGCUAACUACGUGCCAGCAGCCGCGGUAAUACGUAGGGGGCAAGCGUUAUCCGGAUUUACUGGGUGUAAAGGGCGUGUAGCCGGGCUGACAAGUCAGAUGUGAAAUCCGGGGGCUCAACCCCCGAACUGCAUUUGAAACUGUUGGUCUUGAGUAUCGGAGAGG
rnacentral:rRNA from 1 species